rnacentral:rRNA from 1 species
UUAUAUGGUCAAGUGACUAAGCGUAUACGGUGGAUGCCUUGGCAGUUGGAGGCGAUGAAGGACGUUGUAGCCUGCGAAAAGCUUCGGGGAGUCGGCAAACAGACUUUGAUCCGGAGAUGUCCGAAUGGGGAAACCCACCUGGUGUAAGCCAGGUACCUUUUACUGAAUACAUAGGUAAAAGGGGCGAACGAGGGGAACUGAAACAUCUAAGUACCCUUAGGAACAGAAAUCAAUUGAGAUUCCCCCAGUAGCGGCGAGCGACCGGGGAUCAGCCUGCAAGUGAUAGCAGUAGUGCUAGUGGAACGGUCUGGAAAGUCCGGCGAUAGAGGGUGAUAGCCCCGUACACGAAAGCGCUGUUGUGGUACUGAGCUUGCGACAAGUAGGUCGGGACACGUGUUAUCUUGACUGAAGAUGGGGGGACCAUCCUCCAAGGCUAAAUACUACCAACUGACCGAUAGUGAACCAGUACCGUGAGGGAAAGGCGAAAAGAACCCCGGAGAGGGGAGUGAAAUAGAACCUGAAACCGUGUACGUACAAGCAGUGGGAGCCCCAUCUUUAAACCAUUUCGAUGGUAGAUGAGGCCAUCGAUGAUUGGGUUAGGUUAGCGUCGCGCAGCGACGAUCAACCGCUCAAGAGAAGCAGAGAUGGUUUAAAGAUGGGGUGACUGCGUACCUUUUGUAUAAUGGGUCAGCGACUUAAUGUCUGUAGCAAGCUUAACCGUAUAGGGGAGGCGUAGGGAAACCGAGUCUUAAUAGGGCGACACAGUUGCAGGCAUUAGACCCGAAACCGGGCGAUCUAUCCAUGAGCAGGUUGAAGGUGCCGUAACAGGCACUGGAGGACCGAACCCACUUAUGUUGAAAAAUGAGGGGAUGACUUGUGGAUCGGAGUGAAAGGCUAAUCAAGCCCGGAGAUAGCUGGUUCUCCUCGAAAUCUAUUUAGGUAGAGCGUCGUGUCUUACCCUGGGGGGUAGAGCACUGUUUGGGCUAGGGGGUCAUCCCGACUUACCAACCCCAUGCAAACUCCGAAUACCCAGGAGUACAAUCACGGCAGACAGACAGCGGGUGCUAACGUCCGUUGUCGAGAGGGCAACAACCCAGACCGCCAGCUAAGGUCCCAAAUACCAGUUAAGUGGGAAACGAUGUGGGAAGGCUUAGACAGCUAGGAGGUUGGCUUAGAAGCAGCCACCCUUUAAAGAAAGCGUAAUAGCUCACUAGUCGAGUCGGCCUGCGCGGAAGAUGUAACGGGGCUAAACUGGUAACCGAAGCUGCGGAUGCGUGCUUGCACGCAUGGUAGAGGAGCGUUCUGUAAGCCGUUGAAGGUGAACCGGGAGGUUUGCUGGAGGUAUCAGAAGUGCGAAUGCUGACAUGAGUAACGAUAAGGGGGGUGAAAAACCUCCCCGCCGGAAGAUCAAGGUUUCCUGCGCAACGCUAAUCGGCGCAGGGUGAGUCGGCCCCUAAGGCGAGGCAGAAAUGCGUAGUCGAUGGGAAGCAGGUUAAUAUUCCUGCACUUCUUAUUAUUGCGAUGGAGGGACGGAGAAGGCUAAACCAUCAGGGCGUUGGUUGUCCCUGUUUAAGGUUGUAGGCUGGUGACUUAGGUAAAUCCGGGUUGCUAAGGCCGAGAGCUGAUGACGAGUCCAAGGCGAGAGCUGCGGAUGAAGUGGUUGAUGCCAUGCUUCCAAGAAAAGCUUCUAAGCUUCAGAUAAUGAGGAACCGUACUGUAAACCGACACAGGUGAUCAGGUAGAGAAUACCAAGGCGCUUGAGAGAACUCGGGUGAAGGAACUAGGCAAAAUGGUACCGUAACUUCGGGAGAAGGUACGCCGGCUUUGGUGAUGGGACUUGCUCCCUAAGCUGAGGCUGGUCGAAGUGACCAGGUGGCUGCGACUGUUUAUUAAAAACAUAGCACUCUGCAAACACGUAAGUGGACGUAUAGGGUGUGACGCCUGCCCGGUGCCGGAAGGUUAAUUGAUGGGGUUAUCUUCGGAGAAGCUCUUGAUCGAAGCCCCGGUAAACGGCGGCCGUAACUAUAACGGUCCUAAGGUAGCGAAAUUCCUUGUCGGGUAAGUUCCGACCUGCACGAAUGGCGUAACGAUGGCCACACUGUCUCCACCCGAGACUCAGUGAAAUUGAAAUCGCUGUUAAGAUGCAGUGUACCCGCGGCUAGACGGAAAGACCCCGUGAACCUUUACUACAGCUUUACACUGGACUUUGACCUUACUUGUGUAGGAUAGCUGGGAGGCUUUGAAGCAGUGGCGCCAGCCAUUGUGGAGCCGACCUUGAAAUACCAGCCUGGUAAUGUUGAGGUUCUAACUCAGGUCCGUGAUCCGGAUCGAGGACAGUGUAUGGUGGGUAGUUUGACUGGGGCGGUCUCCUCCCAAAGAGUAACGGAGGAGCACGAAGGUGCGCUAAUCAUGGUCGGAAAUCAUGAGGUUAGUGUAAAGGCACAAGCGCGCUUGACUGUGAGUCUGACAAGACGAACAGGUACGAAAGUAGGUCUUAGUGAUCCGGUGGUUCUGUAUGGAAGGGCCAUCGCUCAACGGAUAAAAGGUACUCCGGGGAUAACAGGCUGAUACCGCCCAAGAGUUCACAUCGACGGCGGUGUUUGGCACCUCGAUGUCGGCUCAUCACAUCCUGGGGCUGAAGCCGGUCCCAAGGGUAUGGCUGUUCGCCAUUUAAAGUGGUACGCGAGCUGGGUUUAGAACGUCGUGAGACAGUUCGGUCCCUAUCUGCCGUGGGCGUUGGAGAAUUGAGGGAAGCUGCUCCUAGUACGAGAGGACCGGAGUGGACGAACCUCUGGUGUUCGGGUUGUGUCGCCAGACGCAUUGCCCGGUAGCUAUGUUCGGACAGGAUAACCGCUGAAAGCAUCUAAGCGGGAAGCCCCUCCCAAGAUAAGUUCUCCCUGGGAAUUUAAUUCCCCUGAAGGGCCGUGGAAGACUACCACGUUGAUAGGCUGGGUGUGGAAGCGUUGUGAGGCGUUGAGCUAACCAGUACUAAUUGCCCGUGAGGCUUGACCAUAUAAUCCA